CAGUAGUCACGAGUUUGAUCCUGGCUCAGAUUGAACGCUGGCGGCAUGCCUUACACAUGCAAGUCGAACGGUAGAGUAGCAAUACUUGAGAGUGGCGAACGGGUGAGUAAUAUAUCGGAACGUGCCCAGUCGUGGGGGAUAACGUAGAGAAAUUUACACUAAUACCGCAUACGAUCUACGGAUGAAAGCGGGGGAUCGCAAGACCUCGCGCGAUUGGAGCGGCCGAUAUCAGAUUAGGUAGUUGGUGAGGUAAAGGCUCACCAAGCCGACGAUCUGUAGCUGGUCUGAGAGGACGACCAGCCACACUGGGACUGAGACACGGCCCAGACUCCUACGGGAGGCAGCAGUGGGGGAAUAUUGGACAAUGGGCGAAAGCCUGAUCCAGCAAUGCCGCGUGAGUGAUGAAGGCCUUCGGGUUGUAAAGCUCUUUACUCGGGACGAUAAUGACGGUACCGAGAGAAUAAGCCCCGGCUAACUCCGUG
rnacentral:rRNA from 1 species